GGGCGGAUGGCAGAGAUGGCUGAAUGCACCUGGCUGUAACCCAGGCUCUUCUUGACGCGUUGGUUCGAAUCCAACUCCGCCCA
rnacentral:tRNA from 1 species